rnacentral:tRNA from 1 species
UUCAACUCCUUCCCCUACUA